rnacentral:rRNA from 1 species
UACGUAGGGUGCAAGCGUUAAUCGGAAUUACUGGGCGUAAAGCGUGCGCAGGCGGUUAUGCAAGACAGAUGUGAAAUCCCCGGCUAACCUGGGAACCGCAUUUGUGACUGCAUAGCUGGAGUACGGCAGAGGGGGAUGGAAUUCCGCGUGUAGCAGUGAAAUGCGUAGAUAUGCGGAGGAACACCGAUGGCGAAGGCAGUCCCCUGGGCCUGUACUGACGCUCAUGCACGAAAGCGUGGGGAGCAAACAGG